rnacentral:rRNA from 1 species
GCCUACGGCCACACCACCCUGAAAACGCCCGAUCUCGUCUGAUCUCGGAAGCUAAGCAGGGUCGGGCUCGGUUAGUACUUGGAUGGGAGACCGCCUGGAAUCCCGGGUGCUGUAGGCU